CCCUUAGAUGUUCUGGGCCGCACGCGCGCUGCACUGACAGAGCCAGCGAGUUUUUUUCCUUGGCCGGAAGGUCUGGGUAAUCUUGUGAAACUCUGUCGUGCUGGGGAUAGAGCAUUGCAAUUAUUGCUCUUCAACGAGGAAUACCUAGUAAGCGUGAGUCAUCAGCUCGCGUUGAUUACGUCCCUGCCCUUUGUACACACCGCCCGUCGCUACUACCGAUUGAAUGGCUUAGUGAGGUCUUGGGAUUGGCUUCGGGGAGCCGGCAACGGCACCCUGUUGCUGAGAACUUGAUCAAACUUGGUCAUUUAGAGGAAGUAAAANUCGUAACA
rnacentral:rRNA from 1 species